AUACGGAGGGUGCAAGCGUUAUGCGGAAUCAUUGGGUUUAAAGGGUCCGUAGGCGGACUAUUAAGUCAGAGGUGAAAUCCCACAGCUCAACUGUGGAACUGCCUUUGAUACUGGUAGUCUUGAGUUAUAUGGAAGUAGAUAGAAUGUGUAGUGUAGCGGUGAAAUGCAUAGAUAUUACACAGAAUACCGAUUGCGAAGGCAGUCUACUACGUAUAUACUGACGCUAAGGGACGAAAGCGUGGGGAGCGAACAGGAUUAGAAACCCUAGUAGUCC
rnacentral:rRNA from 1 species